rnacentral:lncRNA from 1 species
GGGGUGAUGGGGUCAGAGCAGCAGUGAGGGCAGGGCCUGAGCGUGAAACCCGUAAGUCUCUCUUCCCCAGCCCCGAUGUGGGGGCAGGGCGUAGCCCCGUGGGCCAUGCACCCCUGUGCCGGGCUGUGGGGUCCUGGGUGCAGCCAUGGGAUGGAGCCUUUGCCCCAAGCUCUCCCCCAAGCCUGACAGGCACACCUCAGCCCAGGGGCCCAGCACGCCUUGCCCAGGGUCUCACGCCUGGCCGCUGGAGGUGCGCUGGGCCGGCAGCUCCCCACAGGCCCACUGGCAUUUGCACCCAGGCUGGGAGAUUUUAGCCCCAUCCCAUUGGCAUUGGGCUCCCCGCGGUGCAGCCUUGGCCCCGUUCUGUCCCUGGAGCCCCCAGUCCGGUGCUGGGCUCCCAUCUCCCCCCGGCUGAGGCAGGCAGGACCUGCCUCUUCCCCAGGGGUCUGUGCGGACCCCAGCAGCUGCCAGCGUGGGGCGCUGUGUCGCUGUUUCAUUGUCCCUGCUCUCUCUGCCCAGGCCUUGCUGCGGGACAGGCCGCCCCCCCCCACGCGCCCACUGCCUGCAGACCCUGUGCUGAAAGGCACUCAGCCACCAGGCCCUGCCCGGCUGCCUCUGCCCAAGAGGCUGCUGCCCUCGGAUCCCACCGGGCCCCUCGUCUCCGGGUCUGAGCUGUCCUCGGUGCACUCCUACGGCCCCCACGUCAUGGUGCUGCCCUCCAGGCCAGCUCCCCCGCCCCCCGCUGGGCAUC